rnacentral:rRNA from 1 species
AUUGAACGCUGGCGGCAGGCCUAACACAUGCAAGUCGAGCGGAUGAAGGGAGCUUGCUCCUGGAUUCAGCGGCGGACGGGUGAGUAAUGCCUAGGAAUCUGCCUGGUAGGGGGGGAUAACGUCCGGAAACGGGCGCUAAUACCGCAUACGUCCUGAGGGAGAAAGUGGGGGUUCUUCGGACCUCACGCUAUCAGAUGAGCCUAGGUCGGAUUAGCUAGUUGGUGGGGUAAAGGCUUACCAAGGCGACGAUCCGUAACUGGUCUGAGCGGGUGAUCAGUCACCAUGGAACUGAGACUCGUCCCGCACACCUACGGGAGGAACCAGUGGCGAAUAUUGGACAAUGGGCGCCAACGUGAUACUGUCAAGCAGGGUGUGUGAAGAAGGUCUACGGAUUGUAAAGAUUGUAAAGUUGGGAGGAAGGAUAGUAAGUUAAUUCCGUGCUUUCUUGACGGUACCAUCAGAAUAAGCACCGGCUAACUUCGUG